UGAGAAGCAGGAAGCGAGAGAAAACGAAACUGAAUCAUAUCAGUGUUCAUGGUAAAAUGGCAGAAGCUCGUUCCACAUUGGAUCAGAACCAGUUCAGCUGUCCAAUAUGUCUGGAUCUACUGAAGGAUCCAGUGACUAUCAAUUGUGGACACAGUUACUGUAUGAGCUGCAUAAAGAGCUGCUGGGAUCAGGAGGAUCGUCUUGGAGUUUACAGCUGCCCCCACUGCAGACAGACCUUCAUACCCAGACCUGUUCUGGGCAGAAACACCAUACUGGCUGAAGUGGUGGAGAACCUGAAGAAAACUGGACUACAAGCAGUUACUCCCACUGACCAUUAUGCUGGACCUGGAGAUGUGGAGUGUGAUUUCUGUACUGGGAGAAAACACAAAGCUGUCAAGUCCUGCCUGGUGUGUCUGGCCUCUUACUGUGAAACUCACCUCCAGCCUCACUAUGAGUCUCCAGCUUUUAAGAAGCACAAGCUGACUGAUGCCACUGGACAUCUGCAGGACAAGGUCUGUUCCCACCAUGACAAACCCCUGGAGAUCUACUGCCGCACCGACCAGCAGUGUAUCUGUUAUCUCUGUACGAUGGAUGAACACAGAGGCCAUGAUACAGUCUCAGCUGCUGCAGGAAGGACGGAGAUACAGAAACAAAUGGGUGAAACACAGAGGGAAUUUCAGGAGAGAAUUCAGAUGAGAGAGAAGGAGCUGCAGGAGCUGAGAGAGGCUGUGGCCUCAAUCACUAGCUCAGCACAGUCAGCAGUGGAGGACAGCGAGAGGAUCUUCACUGAGAUGAUCCGCUCCAUUGAGAGAAGACGCUCUGAGGUGACAAAGCUGAUCAGAGAUCAGGAGAAGGCUGUAGUGAGCCAGACUGAAGGAGACAUGAAGAGAUUGAAGCAGGAUAUUGAUGAACUGAAGAGGAAACACUCUGAGCUGGAGCAGCUUUCACACACAGAGGAUCACAUCCAUUUCCUCCAGAGGUACCAGGGUCUUCCUGUCACCCCUGAAGCUGGAUUUGGACCCAGAAUCUCCGUCAGUCCACGCUGUUCUUUUGAGAACAUGAGGAAGGUGGUUUCUGAGCUGAAGGAUCAACUGGAGAAUGUUUGCGAAAAGAAAAUGACAGAGAUCCACCAUACAGUUACCAAAGACACCGUCCUACCAGUAUUAGUGCCCACGACCAGAUCAGAAUUCUUACAAUACUCCUGCCAGCUGACGCUGGACCCCAACACAGCAAACAGCCUCCUGUCUCUGUCAGAGGGGAACAGGAAGGUGACACGGGGGGCAAAGCGGCCAUAUCCUGAUCAUCCAGAGAGAUUUGACUUCUGGCUCCAAGUUCUAUGCAGAGAGAGUCUGACUGGUCGCUGUUACUGGGAGGCUGAGUGGAGUGGAGAUGGAGCCCGGAUAGCAGUGACUUAUAAAGGAAUCGGGAGGAAAGGAGGGAGUGCUGACUGUCGGCUUGGAUUCAAUGACAAGUCAUGGAUGCUGAGCUGCUCUCCUGACAGUUACUCUGUCUGGCACAAUAAGAAACAGACUCUCAUACCCAUAAAGCCCUCAGACUCCCGCAGAGUAGGAGUGUAUCUGGACCAGGCGGCUGGUACUCUGUCCUUCUACAGAGUCUCCUCUGAUGGACUGACCCUCCUGUACAGCUUCACCUCCUCAUUCACUGAACCCCUCUAUCCAGGGUUUCGGGUUUAUGAUCCAAACUCCCCCGUGUCGCUGUGCAUGCUGGGAUAGCUCACUGUGUGCUGGAGGAAUCAUUUUUACCUUAUCAGAGUGUCACAUGUCGCUGCUUCUCCGUGGCAAAAAGGUAAAAUCUCUGCUUUAUAACCAGUAUAACCAUUUUUACUCUGUCUGAAGUGUGACGUAUGUUAUACAGAAAUAAAUGAAUGUUUGUUCAGUUUGCCAAACUCAUGCAAAAUUACUGUUUUUCUCUGACUUUUGUUCUAUGUUGUCUGUUAAUGCAACAAAACUGCUAAAAUAAAUUCAUAGUAAAUGCAGUCUUACCAAUAGAGUGAAUUCUGAUUCUGAAUAAAAUAAAAUGUAAUGAAAUGUAAGCCUGAUGAGUGGGGGGGCUUUUUCCCUCCCCUUAUAUGUACAUUUUAUAUAUUUCUGUCUGUAUAUUGUAUUUGUUGCCUGUACACUGACAAUAAAGGCUUCCUAUUCUAUCCUA